UACGUAGGUGGCAAGCGUUGUCCGGAUUUACUGGGCGUAAAGGGCGUGCAGGCGGUUUGUUAAGUCUAGGGUGAAAGCUCCCGGCUCAACUGGGAGAGGUCCUUGGAUACUGGCAGACUUGAGGGAUGCAGAGGAAAGUGGAAUUCCCGGUGUAGUGGUGAUAUGCGUAGAUAUCGGGAGGAACACCAGUGGCGAAGGCGGCUUUCUGGGCAUUACCUGACGCUGAGACGCGAAAGCGUGGGGAGCGAAC
rnacentral:rRNA from 1 species